GUGGUAAUAAACAAAUAUAUACUAUAACGUCCUUGAUGUCCUUAUUUUGUGAUAGAAAACGCAGUUGGGGGUCUUUCGUUAAAUGCAGCACUCCUGACCUCAAUAUAUGGCCUCAAUAAUGAACGUAGACUUAAAGAAACAUAUUUAAUUUCAAAUAAUUCAUUUAAAUGGAGGAUCGGAUACACAUGAAAUAAUGGUUGAAAUGAUAACCAGUGCACUGUAAAGUGUAAUACAUUUGGUGGGGAUUUUUACGAAUGCGCAUCAGCUUAAUAAUGCAUUCACAUGCACGUAAUACAAUAAAAAAUACGGAAAUUUUGUAAUAUAUAUUUCAAAGUUAUGCAAUCUAAAAAUGGUUAGAAGCUCAAAUUAAAAAAAUUACAAGAUUUUGCUUUCAUAAAAGUUACGUUUAUAUAGAAAAUCUAUAAUGUUUAAUUACAAAAUCUAUUAUCUAUAAAUUUCUUAAUUUUAUUCUGAUAGAAAUUAAAUAUUAAUGCUAAGAAAAUUAAAAUUAAGCUAAAUAAAAUAUAAUCAUAAAUUGUU